rnacentral:rRNA from 1 species
CCUUGUACACACCGCCCGUCACACCACGAAAGCUGGUUUUACCAGAAGUCGGUGCGCCAACCGUAAGGAAGCAGCCGCCCAAGGUGAGAUCGGUGAUUGGGGUG